AAAUAAUUGCUAAAUUAAUCCCCAUAUUCUAAGUCUUCCCUUUCUGAGGAUUUCAUCAUAGGAUGACAGAAUAUUUGUUUUAACAAGAUAAAGGUGACAAAUAACUUAAAAUGGGGGAGAAAACCUGCCUAAUUUGGAAAAAGAAUGUCAGGUAUAAGUUGUUAAUGAUCAGCAGUCAGCUGUAGAGCUUGAUAGACACUUAGCUGAGCCAAUCCUCAGUCCUUCCAUUGGCCCUUGUGACUGUAUCCUAACCCAUUUUCCUCCAUAGCAUUUCCUUUCCCCAGGAUCCUCUCACAGAAUUCACCUAUAGAUUGCAAUUCUCUCUCACCAUGCUAAGAUUAUCUUUCUUACUACCAAUUCUUUCUAGGCUUCAUGAUUUCUUUCCUAACGUCUUCUGAUUCGACUUUGAGACAACUCAGCACUGUGGAAUCUUUGCUGCAACUUCUCCAAUGAACAGAUGUUCCUUUCCAUCCUCUUAACAAGGUGUCCACCCUAGAAAAUCGGAACAAGUGGUUGCUGGCAAGCAAAGCAUGUGAUGGUGUCCCAGUUGGGUUCAGAUGGCUCAGAAGAUGUAUUUGGUUCAAGAUUGGAUGGGGAGUGGCAGACCUCCACUUUGGCCAGUGAGCUGUCCACCCUAGAAAAUCAGAACAAGUGGUUGCUGGCAAGCAAAGCAUAUGAUGGUGUCCCUGUGAUGUUCAGGUGGCUCAGAAGAUGUAUUUGGUUCAAGAUUGGAGGGGGAGUGGCAGACCUCUACUUUGGCCAGUGAGCUGUCCACCCUAGAAAAUCAGAACAAGUGGUUGCUGGCAAGCAAAGCAUAUGAUGGUGUCCCUGUGAUGUUCAGGUGGCUCAGAAGAUGUAUUUGGUUCAAGAUUGGAGGGGGAGUGGCAGACCUCUACUUUGGCCAGUGAGGUGAGUGGCUGUGGCAGACUGCAUGAUGCGUCCAAACCCUUUUUCUUUGACUCUUCCAUGAGGCGCUGGAAGUCUUGAAUAGGAAAGCAAGGAAUCAAUAGCUCAGAGGCUAAGCUCUGAGCAUUACUUCAUAGGGAUCUUAACCUGUUGUCCUGACAUUUCCCAAAAAGGAGCAUUUACUAAAGAAGAAU
rnacentral:lncRNA from 1 species